ACGGAGAUCACCCUGGGUAGCAAUCAGAACUUAGAACACCAGGUAACCACGAAAACCGCAAGGUAAUUGAGUGCUUCUAGGUGGCCGCCAUUCGGCAUACGAACACGUGGCGAGAACAAAGGAUGGCGACCAUCUUAAAUCUCCCGAACACGGCCAGCGGGACUUACUCAUGGAUUGCCUGGACCAUUUUCGGCAUGGCAAUCACACGAACACCCGGUCUCCAUGGAAGUCCCGUCUGACCUAUUUCCACUCACAGUAUCAGACUGGCAUUCGGGAGUUUCAAUCAACCGAAUGAGGGGAGCAGUCAUAUGUAACCAGAUACUGUAUAACUGUGGUGGUUUACGUGUAAUUCUGCACGAACGGAGACCGGCUCUUGCUACCAAUUUCAUGGAACUCUAACUCGGAUACAACCACAUGGCGAACCGGUCAAACUUCCACACGAUGCGACACGGAAACUACCAAACGGAUUUUCGUGCAAUUUGGAUAUGUUACUCCCAGUAUCCUCAGCUACCCAGGGAUGUUUUUAUAUUCCUAUGUCAUGUAUAAAGUAUAUUUCUAAAAAUGUUCACAAUUGUUAAUGUUUCUGGCCAGCAGAUAAUUGAGUUUAGUAUGUUGCUGAAACUCAAUUAUCUAGCCUGGCGCAGAGGAGGAG